UAUUUUUUCGUGAAUUAUAUUAAAGAUGUUAAUAUUGUUUUUUGUUAACUUUAAUCAUGAUAUUAUCUCCAAGGAGAAGAUGUGCAAGAAAAACGAAAGGUGGAAAAUGAGGGAGGAGAUGAAAAAGAAAAAAUAGUUGAAAAAGAAACUCCAUCCAAAGAUAUAAUUAAAGAACAAAGGAGACGAUACACAAGAAAAAACAAAGGUGGAAAAUCAGGAGGUAGG